GGAAUUGACGGGACCCGCACAAGCGGUGGAUGAUGUGGUUUAAUUCGAUGCAACGCGAAAAACCUUACCCACCUUUGACAUGUACGGAAUCCUUUAGAGAUAGAGGAGUGCUCGAAAGAGAACCUGCACACAGGUGCUGCAUGGCUGUCGUCAGCUCGUGUCGUGAGAUGUUGGGUUAAGUCCCGCAACGAGCGCAACCCUUGCCAUUAGUUGCUACGAAAGGGCACUCUAAUGGGACUGCCGGUGACAAACCGGAGGAAGGUGGGGAUGACGUCAAGUCCUCAUGGCCCUUAUAGGUGGGGCUACACACGUCAUACAAUGGCCGGUACAGAGGGUAGCCAACCCGCGAGGGGGAGCCAAUCCCACAAAGCCGGUCGUAGUCCGGAUCGCAGUCUGCAACUCGACUGCGUGAAGUCGGAAUCGCUAGUAAUCGCGGAUCAGCAUGUCGCGGUGAAUACGUUCCCGGGCCUU
rnacentral:rRNA from 1 species